rnacentral:pre_miRNA from 1 species
UUAACUCAAAUUUCUAUCGAGUUGGAACAUUUGCCUACGUUUGCCUCUAGGGGUGCUGUUACAAAUGCCUACAAAUUUUGAAUU